AUUGAACGCUGGCGGCAGGCCUAACACAUGCAAGUCGAACGAGUGGCGGACGGGUGAGUAAUGUCUGGGAAACUGCCUGAUGGAGGGGGAUAACUACUGGAAACGGUAGCUAAUACCGCAUACCAUCGGAUGUGCCCAGAUGGGAUUAGCUAGUGGGUGGGGUAACGGCUCACCUAGGGGACGCUCCCUAGCUGGUCUGAGAGGAUGACAACCCACACUGGAACUGAGAAACGGUCCAGACUCCUACGGGAUGCAGCAGUGGGGAAUAUUGCAAAAUGGGCGAAAGCCGGAUGCAGCCAUGCCGCGUGUAUGAAGAAGGACUUCGGGUUGUAAAGGACUUUCAGCGGGGAGGCGUUACCCGCAGAAGAAGCACCGGCUAACUCCGUGCCAGCAGCCGCGGUAAUAC
rnacentral:rRNA from 1 species